UCCCUGGUGGCUCAGACGGUAAAGCAUCUGCCUGCAAUGCAGGAGACUCGGGUUUGAUUCCUGGAUCGGGAA
rfam:Ovis aries breed Texel chromosome 14, whole genome shotgun sequence.